rnacentral:rRNA from 1 species
GUGGGGGAUAACUAUUGGAAACGAUAGCUAAUACCGCAUAAUCUCUUCGGAUCAAAGAGGGGGACCUUCGGGCCUCUCGCGUCAGGAUUAGCCUAGGUGGGAUUAGCUAGUUGGUGAGGUAAGUGGCUCACCAAGGCAACGAUCCCUAGCUGGUCUGAGAGGAUGAUCAGCCACACUGGAACUGAGACACGGUCCAGACUCCUACGGGAGGCAGCAGUGGGGAAUAUUGCACAAUGGGCGAAAGCCUGAUGCAGCCAUGCCGCGUGUGUGAAGAAGGCCUUCGGGUUGUAAAGCACUUUCAGUCGUGAGGAAGGGAGUGAAGUUAAUAGCUCCAUUGUUUGACGUUAGCGACAGAAGAAGCACCGGCUAACUCCGUGCCAGCAGCCGCGGUAAUACGGAGGGUGCGAGCGUUAAUCGGAAUUACUGGGCGUAAAGCGCAUGCAGGUGGUUUGUUAAGUCAGAUGUGAAAGCCCGGGGCUCAACCUCGGAAUAGCAUUUGAAACUGGCAGACUAGAGUACUGUAGAGGGGGGUAGAAUUUCAGGUGUAGCGGUGAAA